GACAGAGGGUGCAAACGUUGUUCGGAAUUACUGGGCGUAAAGCGCGUGUAGGCGGUUCGUAAAGUCGGAUGUGAAAGCCCUGGGCUUAACCCAGGAAGUGCAUUCGAAACUCACGAACUUGAGUCCCGGAGAGGAUGGCGGAAUUCCCGGUGUAGGGGUGAAAUCCGUAGAUAUCGGGAGGAACACCAGUGGCGAAGGCGGCCAUCUGGACGGUGACUGACGCCGAGACGCGAAAGCGUGGGGAGCAAACAGG
rnacentral:rRNA from 1 species